GUACAUUUAAUAAUUUACAUUCAAAGCGUGUUUUUGCUCUGAAUUUUUUUUUUCUGAAUUCCCAAUGCUAUUUUUUUCCCGCCACUGUGACUUUAAGCAGUAAUCAAACAAACGUUACUCCUGAAAAACAAAUGAAAGGAACAAUAAGGAACAUGCAAAAAUGCGCGGGGUAUUUUUCGUUUCUUUUGCAUUGCUUGUCACUUGCAUUUUGAUUUUCAAUUACCCAAGCUGUUUUUGUGAACUUCUUAAUUUCGUUGCUGUUAAAAUUCAGAUAUAGGGUUGUUCUAAACAAAUAAGGGUUGUUAUUAACAAAUAAGGGUUGUUUUAAGCAAAUAAGUGAGAAAAAUGUAAAUGUAAAUGUAAAAAAAAAACAACAAAAUGUGAAGUAUACAUGUGCUAAAAAUUAAAAAAAUGUAUAAUUAUAUUCCAACAUUGAACUUGUCUGCACUGAGAGAACCUACACAUAUAAAGACUUCAAAAGGAUUGUCUAUACUAGAUUGAAUGCUGAUUGCAAUCUCUGUGAUUGGGAUAAUAUAUUAUACCUGACAACAGUAGAUACUCAACUGGGACUACUUAACUCUAAUAUUGACUAUUUAUAUAACAAAGUAAAGACCCUGAAAAAUUCAUUAAAACUAUGUUUUAAUAAAAAUAUUAACUAUUAACUAACUAACAAAGCAUACUCUUAAUCAGAGGUGCUCACGCCUAUGCACAAAUGAAAGUUAUUUUAUCUUCCUUGGCUCUACACUUAUUUCUUUACUUGUGUUCGUUAUCUUUUUUAAAUAUUUUGGUAUACGCCCUGCCAAAAGGAAAGAACAACGGUGAACAGGCUAAUUUGAACAUUUAAGCGGCAAGCUAACUAUUAGAAUGGAAACGUGACGGGUCUGGUAAGACAAAAAAAGGGCAUUGGCCAUACAAAAUCUGUGAUAAAAGAUGUAUGUAGAUGUUCACGACCGUAAAGGAAAUUCUUGAAUAUAUGUAAAUGUACCAACAGAGACAAUAGAUAGUGAAAAUAAUUGCUUUAAUUUUGUUUAUGAAACUCAGUGUGACGUUUUUACAAAUUAAAUCUAAAGCUACAUGGACUUGACGAUAUAAAUCCAAACUUUGUAAAAAUACUACUACCAAACAUAAUUAAAAACCUGACCCACUUGUUUUAUACUGCAAUAACAAUGCCUACCUUCCCGGAGUCGUGGAAAAUUACAUAAAUUAUGACGAUAUUAAAGACCAAUAACGAAUUUAAUCCAAUUUGAUAGUAUUGAAAUGUUAAUGGUUUCCGUAAGGACUGUACUACCGCCAUUAUCAAGAUCGCAGACGAUAUACGUGUAGCAAUGGAUAAUUGUAAAAUAACUUUUUUAACCCUACUAGAUUUAAGCAAAGCGUUUGAUUCAGUUUAUUACAGAAUUCUUAUAAUGAAACUGCAGAGAAUAUAUUGAAAUUUUCAAACAAUUUUUUAACAAUAAUUAAAAUAUGAAUAAACAAUUAAAUAAAUUCAAUUAUCAAAUAAAUUAAAAUCAUAAUGUAACUAAUUAAAAUAAAAUUGUAGUAUCUAACGCAGUAAAUUAUAAGUGAUGUACUUGUAGCGCUAGGAUAGUAUUAAUCCAAUAAAUUAAAAGAAAUAAUGGCUUAAAUCUACUUUGUAUUCAAAUUGCUGCCUGGGGGUGCGUUAACCUCCCAAGCCCAACUUCUUUUUUAAGUUUCACAGAAAAAACAUCGGCGAAAUAUCGGCUAGAAAUGUGUGGUUGCGAACGUAAAUUCCACCGUCAAGGAAUAACCGGCAAAUUUUUGACACGGCGCUACCUAACGGACCAUCUUUAAAAAAGACGGUGGAUAGUUCUCUAUGGGACUAGGCCAUUAAUAGUCUAUUCCUAUUACAUUUUCUUCCGAGAGUUCAAAACAAAUAGUAACGUAGAUGAAGUGAAAAAAUUAAGAUCUCAUGAAAUGUGGCAUUUACUAUGGUUAAUAUGUUAUCACAGAAUAAAAAACUGUCAACUAAUUAACUAUAUUUUGGCAUGUCGUUUUAUACUUAUUAAGGAAAUACAAUUUAAAUAAUAAAUUCUUUUAUUAAGACGUUAUUUAAGUAUUUUCUUAUUGCAAAUAAAUUUAUCAACAAAUUGUAAGCAAAUUCAUCUGGACCAUUAAUGUGAAUAGGCUAUAUCCGCAUGUCGCUAGACCAAUGGUUAUUCGGUGCAGACCAAAAAAUCUUAGCGCGAAACAUUUUGGAUUUUGGGGGCUUGCUCCCAAAGGCAGCAAUUUUAACGCAGAAUUGAUUUAAAUGUAUUUUUACAAUGCAUUCUGUCGAAUAUGCGAAAAAUUCUGCAAUCGUGUUUCCCACUAACGCAACUUUUAAAAGCCGAUGGUGGUACGUACCUUGGCGUCCACCUUAACAGGCGACUUACUGGCCGAAGAAACUACGAAGCUACACUUCCCAGCUGUGGGGAAACUCGAUCACCAGCAACAUCGACACUGUUCAGCGAUCUCAAUCCAAAAUCCUAAAAAUUGUCACUUGGGCACCAUGGUAUGCUCGGAACAAGAUUUUUGAGAAUGGCUUGGUGUUCUACCUGUAAAAGAUCAAAGAUAAUAUCCAAAUAAAAAGCGAUUUAUAACA